CCCUUAGAUGUCCGGGGCCGCACGCGCGCUACACUGAAGGAAUCAGCGUGGCUUUCUCCCUGACCCGAAAGGGUUGGGAAACCCGUUGAAUCUCCUUCGUGAUAGGGAUUGGGGCUUGAAAUUGUUCCCCAUGAACGAGGAAUUCCCAGUAAGCGCGAGUCAUAAGCUCGCGUUGAUUACGUCCCUGCCCUUUGUACACACCGCCCGUCGCUACUACCGAUUGAACGGUUUAGUGAGGGCCUCGGAUUGGUCUCGGCCCGCUCUUUACCGGGCGGCGCCGUUGGUCGAGAAGACGCUCGAACUUGAUCGUUUAGACGAAGUAAAAGUCGUAACA
rnacentral:rRNA from 1 species